GAUGAACGCUGGCGGCGUGCCUAAUACAUGCAAGUCGUGCGGCAGCAUGCUUCUCACCAAGGUUCGAAGCGGUAGAUAGUGUGUGGUAGAUAGUAGAUGGUUUUUCCAUUUACCAACUACCAUUUACCAUCUACCAUUCACUUCGAGCUUUAGUGAGAAGUGAUGGCGAGCGGCGGACGGCUGAGUAACGCGUGGGAACGUGCCCCAAAGUGAGGGANAAGCUCCAGAAAUUGGAGUCUAAUACCGCAUAUGGUCUUCGGAUUAAAGCUUCGGCGCUUUGGGAGCGGCCCGCGUACGAUUAGAUAGUUGGUGAGGUAAAGGCUCACCAAGUCUACGAUCGUUAACUGGUCUGAGAGGAUGAUCAGUCAGAC
rnacentral:rRNA from 1 species